GGUCCAGUGGUGUAGUGACAACACAUCCUCUUCUUAGUCUGAAAUACAACUGGAAUCAUGAUGAAGCCCCCGUUCAAUUCGGGGCUGGGUCA